rnacentral:lncRNA from 1 species
UGGGAGCCUGGAGCACUUAAACUUCUUUCAAACAAGAUAAAACUUGUUUCCUUUGCUGCUUUUAAACUUGGAAAUAAAGAAUAGUUACCAGCAAUAGAGUGUGUGCUUCUUAAAAAGACAAAACCCAGCACAGAGCCAUUUGAAGCUCUGGUCCUUGCCAAGUGGAGGAGAGAGACAGAGUGACGUCUUCGCAGUUCUCAGGUGAAACUUUUCUAUUUGUCGUCGUGCCAUUUAGUCCCUGUUUGAUUGACUGUACAAGUGACCUGCUGCAUUUUGCAGAAACCAGAGGUGGAUUGAAUUUCUUAGAACCCUAAUAUGCACAAGGGAACUGCAGGAAGUGUCGCAACAUUUUCCAGAAAGGGGUUAGCAGCCACAAGACUGAGGAGAGUGUCUGUCCAUAUGAGCAGGAGGAUUUCUUGCCCGUACACCAGCCAUCUCAAUGUUACUAAAUGGUUCCUAAAGGUCCUUCUUUAAGAAAUGCUAAGUCUGGAGAUGUAGUUCAGGGGUAGAGAACUUGUCUAAUAGGGAUAAGGCCCUGGGUUGCAUCCCCAGCACUUCAAAGAAAAAUAAAAUUAGAUACUGCUGGGCAUGGUGGCACGGGUCUGUAACUCCAAUGACUCAGGAGAAUUGCAAGUUUGAGACCAGCCUCAGCUACGUAGUGAAAUCCUAUCUCAAUUAAAAAGUUAAAAGGACUGGAGAUGUAGCUCAGCAGUAAAGUGCCCCUGGUUCGUCCCCAGUAUCAAUCAAUCAAUCAGUCAAUAAAAACAUACUAAUAAAAUUAAACACAGUAGCCCCAGCAGCUUGGGAGGCUGAGGCAGGAGGAUCAAGAGUUCAAAGCCAGCCUCAGCAAAAGUGAGGUCCUAAGCAGCUCAGUGAGAGCCUGUCUCUAAAUAAUAUGCAAAAUAGAGCUGGGGAUGUGCCUCAGUUGUUGAGGGCUCCUGAGUUCAAUCCCCAAUACCAAAAUAUAAAAUAAAAUAAAAUAAUUGGGGCUGGGGAUACAGCUCUGUUGGUAGUGCUUGCCUCACAUGCACAAGGCCCUGGGUUCAAUCCUCAGCACCACAAAUAUUUAAAUAAAAUAAUUAAACACAGUAGAAUCACUAGUCCAAAAUGACUUUGUCCAUUUACAGAAGGUAAUGAGGUCCUAGGCAGCUAGUCGGUUUCUGCAUUUGUGGUACUUGUACCCUGAUCAUUUAAACGAUGAUGACAUCAAGGGAACGGGAAGUGAAAGGAGCAUGUUCAGCACUUCCCGCAAGAUCAAGACCCAACUUUCAUUCCAGGAGGGAAACAAAAACACCCACCCAGAAUUUGCCCUUCGCUCUCUCCUGGAUCAUUUAAGAGUUUUUUUUUUUUUCCUUUCUUUCUCUGUAAGAUGUUGCUCUAAACGUUUUCCUCUCUUUUUCCAUUUCAAUGGGUACAUUUAGAUCCAGGAACAGUGUGACAUGUCCCUACUAGAAUCUGCCUCUUCACGAAAGCCUGGGAAUGGAUAAAACGCGACUCCAAGCAAAAGCGCGGGACACGUGAGCCUUUAACAGUGAAUGUCAAAAUCAGGGCCCUGGGCUGGGCACUGAGGCAUACGCCUGUCCUCCCAGCUACUGAGAGGUUAAGGAGGAGCACUGCUCUAACCCAGGAGCCUGGGGAAAGUCUGGGCAACGCAGUGAGAGCUUGUCUCAAGACGACGCGGUGGCACACGCCUGUCAUCCCCACUCCACUCAGGAGGCUGAGGCAGGAGGAUCGCGGGUUCAAGGCCAGCCUCAGCAACAGCAAAGCACGAAGCCACUCAGUGAGACCGUGACUCUAAAUAAAACACAGAACAGGGCUGGGAUGGGGCUCAGUGGCCGAGGGCCCUGGGUUCAAUGUCUUGUACCAAAAGAAAAAAAUGAAAGAAAGAAAAAUGGGCUGGAAGGAAGCUGGGGAGAAUGCUUGCCUAGCAGGCGCUAAUCCCUAGCACCAAAAACCAACCAGACAAGUAAAUCAUGGCUUCCAGAAGACGGAAUUCCUGAACUCUCUUCCCAUUCUUCUCCUGAACCAGUUUAAAAAUCUCUUUCAUCCAUCAUCAGGGAGAUGCAGAAACGAGUCAGCCUGAAAGUCCUCCCAGUGUCACACGCAGUCACAGAUGGUGAGCCUGCUCCCACCAGCGCCCAGCGGCAAAGCCAUCGCGAGCUGCCUGGGAACUGGACAGGCACAGAUUGGAGGGAUGUCAGUGUGGAGCCCCGAGUCUCCACUGGGGGACCUCUGGGCUCCCUGGGAAGCUCGGCAGUGUCUGAAGAUGAUCUCAGUUAUCACAACUGGGGUGGGGAGCGUGCCGCUGGAAUGGGGUGGGUAGAGGCCCCAGGAUGUUGCUCAUUACCUUAUGUGACAGAGCUGGGGAUGUGGCUCGGUGGCAGAGCACUUGCCUGGCCUGCAGGAAACCCUGAGUUGAUCCCCAGCACUGAAAAAUAAAAGAGAGAGAGAGAGAGAGAAUUGUGCAG